UCUACGGGAGGCUGCAGUGGGGAAUAUUGGACAAUGGGGGGAACCCUGAUCCAGCCAUGCCGCGUGUGUGAAGAAGGCCCUCGGGUUGUAAAGCACUUUCAGUGAGGAAGAACGCCUGGUGGUUAAUACCCAUCAGGAAAGACAUCACUCACAGAAGAAGCACCGGCUAACUCCGUGCCAGCAGCCGCGGUAAUACGGAGGGUGCGAGCGUUAAUCGGAAUUACUGGGCGUAAAGCGCGCGUAGGUGGCUUGAUAAGCCGGUUGUGAAAGCCCCGGGCUCAACCUGGGAACGACAUCCGGAACUGUCAAGCUAGAGUGCAGGAGAGGAAGGUAGAAUUCCCGGUGUGGCGGUGAAAUGCGUAGAGAUCGGGAGGAAUACCAGUGGCGAAGGCGGCCUUCUGGACUGACACUGACACUGAGGUGCGAAAGCGUGGGUAGCAAACAGGAUUAGAUACCCGUGUAGUC
rnacentral:rRNA from 1 species